AAUUUUGGACAAUGGGGGAAACCCUGAUCCAGCCAUCCCGCGUGUAUGAUGAAGGCCUUCGGGUUGUAAAGUACUUUUGGCAGAGAAGAAAAGGUAUCCCCUAAUACGGGAUACUGCUGACGGUAUCUGCAGAAUAAGCACCAGCUAACUACGUGCCAGCAGCCGCGGUAAUACGUAGGGUGCAAGCGUUAAUCGGAAUUACUGGGCGUAAAGCGGGUGUGGGCGGUUCGAAAGGAAAGAUGGAAAUUCCAGGGGCUAAACCUUGGAACUGCAUUUUUAACUGCGGGGCUGGAGUAUGUCAGGGGGGGGAAGAAUUCAACGUGUAGAAGGGAAAUGCGUAGGAAUGUGGAGGAAAACCGAUGGCGAAGGAAGCCCCCUGGGAAAAUACUGACGCUCAAACACGAAAGCGUGGGAGGCAAACAG
rnacentral:rRNA from 1 species